rnacentral:ncRNA from 1 species
AUGAAUGCAUUGAAUAGGAAGAGUAGGAUCCGAACCUUUCAGAGAGAGAAAUCAUUAGCUGAGAGAUUUCUUAAGAUGUACGAUUCGAAUGUCGCCUAGGAGCAGCUAUCCUGAAAAAUCGUUUGAUUCAUAAGGCUAGCCGGCAGCUGACCGUUAUCAGAUUGAGUGUGUAGUACGUUAGAUUUUUUGUACUGCAAACAAAGGUGGUACCGCGAGUGAACUUUCUUCGUCCUUUGG